rnacentral:rRNA from 1 species
UACGGGGGGAGCAAACGUUGUUCGGAAUUACUGGGCGUAAAGGGCUCGUAGGUGGCCAACUAAGUCAGACGUGAAAUCCCUCGGCUUAACCGGGGAACUGCGUCUGAUACUGGAUGGCUUGAGGUUGGGAGAGGGAUGCGGAAUUCCAGGUGUAGCGGUGGAAAUGCGUAGAUAUCUGGAGGAACACCGGUGGCGAAGGCGGCGAUCCUGGACCAAUUCUGACGCUGAGGAGCGAAAGCCAGGGGAGCAAAGCGGG